UACGUAGGGGGCUAGCGUUGUCCGGAAUCAUUGGGCGUAAAGCGCGUGUAGGCGGUCCGGUAAGUCCGCUGUGAAAGUCGGGGGCUCAACCCUCGGAUGCCGGUGGAUACUGUCGGGCUUGAGUACGGAAGAGGCGAGUGGAAUUCCUGGUGUGGCGGUGAAAUGCGCAGAUAUCAGGAGGAACACCUAUGGCGAAGGCAGCUCGCUGGGACGGUACUGACGCUGAGACGCGAAAGCGUGGGGAGCAAACAGG
rnacentral:rRNA from 1 species